UUUUAAUGAUGAAAAAAACAGACCUGAUUUGAAAAAAAUUUGAGAAUGAUAUUUCUACUUCUGAAAAAA
rnacentral:snoRNA from 1 species